CCUGGAGACGUGGAAAAGGUGCGUGCGCACACACUCACUCACAGACAGCUUCUACAUACAGUGCCAGUCUGUUCACUGACGGAACCACUGCAGCUCGUCAACACUCCCAUCCGUGCCUCCCCCCCAGGCCCACAGCAGGAUCACCCUCCCUUGCUGACCUGAGACGACUCCCGGCUUCUGCGGGUGAAGUGUGAGUGGAAGCGACAUGCGCGGGAGCUGUAAGAGCCUCCUGUGCUGGGCUUUCUCCUUGCCCUCGGUCAUCAGCACUGCUGUGUUCCAGAGCGACUCCUCCUUCAGCCGGGGCCCUGAGUUUCAGUUUGGAAGCGUGGAGGAGCAUGACUGUGGUGUUGGACAGCCAGGAGUUCAAAGCCAAGCUCGACAUUUGCUGUGGACCUCGUCAGACCUUCAUACCUCCAGUCUGCUUUUUGAUCAAUAAAGUCGUAAGACAAUUAUCUGACAACAAUCUCAAUUUUACAUUAAUGCUCCACUGAAAUUAUCUUCAUAAAGGUCAUGAAUACCCUCUUAAUUUUAAAAUCUAAUAAACAUUUAGCUCCUAUCUUA